UGAGCAAUCUGCCCUUCUCUUCGGAAUAAGCGUUGGAAACGACGCCUAAUGCCGAAUACGACCUCCUUUCACAUGAUCGGAGGUGGAAAGCUCCGGCGGAGAAGGAUGAGCUCGCGGCCUAUCAGCUGGUUGGUGUGGGUAAUGGCCCACAAGGCGACGACGGGUAGCCGGCCUGAGAGGGCGACCGGCCACACGUGGGACUGAGACACGGCCCAGACCUCCGUACGGGAGGNAGCG
rnacentral:rRNA from 1 species